rnacentral:rRNA from 1 species
UGGGGAAUAUUGCACAAUGGGCGCAAGCCUGAUGCAGCCAUGCCGCGUGUAUGAAGAAGGCCUUCGGGUUGUAAAGUACUUUCAGCGGGGAGGAAGGGAGUAAAGUUAAUACCUUUGCUCAUUGACGUUACCCGCCGAAGAAGCACCGGCUAACUCCGUGCCAGCAGCCGCGGUAAUACGGAGGGUGCAAGCGUUAAUCGGAAUUACUGGGCGUAAAGCGCACGCAGGCGGUUUGUUAAGUCAGAUGUGAAAUCCCCGGGCUCAACCUGGGAACUGCAUCUGAUACUGGCAAGCUUGAGUCUCGUAGAGGGGGGUAGAAUUCCAGGUGUAGCGGUGAAAUGCGUAGAGAUCUGGAGGAAUACCGGUGGCGAAGGCGGCCCCCUGGACGAAGACUGACGCUCAGGUGCGAAAGCGUGGGGAGCAAACAGG